UGGGGAAUAUUGCACAAUGGGCGAAAGCCUGAUGCAGCGACGCCGCGUGGGGGAUGAAGGCUUUCGGGUUGUAAACCUCUUUCGCUAUCGAACAAGGCCCGCUUAGGGUGGGUUGAGGGUAGGUGGAGAAGAAGCGCCGGCUAACUACGUGCCAGCAGCCGCGGUAAUACGUAGGGCGCGAGCGUUGUCCGGAAUUAUUGGGCGUAAAGCGCACGCAGGCGGUUUGUUAAGUCAGAUGUGAAAUCCCCGGGCUCAACCUGGGAACUGCAUCUGAUACUGGCAAGCUUGAGUCUCGUAGAGGGGGGUAGAAUUCCAGGUGUAGCGGUGAAAUGCGUAGAGAUCUGGAGGAAUACCGGUGGCGAAGGCGGCCCCCUGGACGAAGACUGACGCUCAGGUGCGAAAGCGUGGGGAGCAAACAGG
rnacentral:rRNA from 1 species